ACAAGGUUGGGAAUUACAGGGAGGGGUUUUAAAGUUAAGAGUUAAGAGAGGACUGACUGGGAACUGUUCCCUUUGGGCAGGUAAAGGCAGUGGGUUACUCUUCAGCAUGAUGCUAGUGUGUGCCAGGCAGGGCAGCUCCAGCCUGCGUGUGUCAUGGUGUAGUUUGUGUGGUGGAUCAUCUUUUGUGUCUCAGACCCUCCUUGGGUCUCAAUCUCCUCUGUGAGCUCCAGGAGCACAGCACUCACCUUGAAGCCCAUCCUUAGGUCUUGGAUAUCCGUGCUGAUCAUCAUGGCGCCGAUCGGCGCUUCUGUUCUUGUGUUAACUCAAAAGCACAGCUCGGCCUCGUGACUUUGACGUUUCUGCUCAGUCCUCUUUGGGCCGGUGUCAUGGUCAGUGUUGUCAGUACUGCUCUGGAACCUUCUGUUUCACAGGGAGCCCUUUUUCUGGGCAUUUUUCCAUGUGUCCUUUUGUUCUUGGGUCUUAGCAAAGCUUCUUGUGCAUCUGUCUAUUUCAGUUCUGACUGUCGCUUCUUGUCACAGAUUGUGAUGUUUGAUUCUUUCUCUGGGGCUGCCUUGUGGCUGCCUUACUGCUGAAAUCAGAAAUAGAUUGACUACAGGAAUAUUGAGAUGAAUUGUAUACCUGUUAAAGACUUGGCAAACUGACAACUGCUUGACUGAAGUGACUUGACUUUUGACUUGACUUGUGACUUGAUUUAGUGCAAGUAGCUGAAGUGAUAAGGCCUUAGGCUGCAAUUCUAAUUCAUCCUUAGCUGAACACCUGUGAUGGACCUUAUACAGGCUUUCACUCUACCACCUCUAAUAGUGUUGAAACAAGAUGCAGACAACAAGAUGAGUCAAAAUUAUCUUCUACAAUGGGAAGAUGCAUUGACUGAAACUUAACUUGGAGAGAGCAAACAAAAUCAGAAUGUGGAGAGAUUUUCCAGCUGAGAAACAAGUGGAAGAGAGCAAAGAGAAAUUGUCCAGGCAAUAAGUUGACUGAUGGUGAACCGGGACCCUCAGAGGAGGACAGAACCCAUCAGAAUUGGAUGAUGUCAUUAUUGUGGGAGGUAAUUGGAUGAACAGUCACAUGUACCAGUGUGUGGUCAGACCGUGAGCCUUUAAAAGGCACAGGUACACUCCAGGUGGAGUCACUCUCCAGAGGCACCCAGCUCAAGCUGCAAUAAACUGAUUUUGUGGCAGAACUGAGGGUGUGAGUUUUUCUUUAUGGUCAGAGGUGAAGACUGAAUCCAGCUGCACCCAGGCUCCUCCCUGAGAAGAAGUUUAGAAAGCAAGGAGAUCUGGUCUGAGCCUUACAACUCAACAAGAGGGAUGUUCUGGACUCAUCUCAUGUUUGCAGUCCUGUAUGUCUUGCCACCUGGUGGCAUCUGCAUUGGAGGAGGAGUUUUUUGGUUUCUGGGAGUUUUCUCUCAUGCUUGUGUCACAUCCUUUGUGUUUGUGUGUUGUGUCUCUGUGCUGUUGGGUUGGAGCUGCUCUCUCUGGAGGCUGUAGCAACUGUGGGAUUGGGAGAAGAAUAGCAAGGAGAGCCUGUGGUUCGUGUUGCUGUGCUGCCUGUGCCUGUUGGGGUGCAGAUGGAGCAUUUGAAGUGAAGUAGCAGCCCUCAGCAGGGGAAGGUGGCCAUUUUCAUAGUGUUUUUGAGAGGGGGUGGCUGGAGCCACCUGGGAGAGGCUGCUGGAGCCAUAGCCAAGCAGGUUGGGUGUCCAGGUUGUUAAGGCCUGAAUGUGUGGGGUGUAAUGUUAACUUGUUUUUUAGCUCCCUUGUAGGUAGUUAGGAUCUAGAAGAUGUUCCUAAAUGGGAAUCUCUGGAAUUGCAUCCAGCUGAUUGCUUGUUACUGCUUUUUCAGAUGCAGGGAGAGGAGCCACGCAGCAGAGGGUGAUGGAGGAGAGGAGCAGAGCGUGGUGAGGAGCUGGGUCGGUGCGUAUUGAAGAGUCUGGGUGAGUUGUCCCCUGGGUUGUGAGGGGAGGUGUGAGUGGUGCCUCUAUCAACUGGCUCAUGGUUUGGGUUUGUUUUGUAGGUGCAAAGCACCGAGGGAAGCGGGAGAUCUGCACUGGAGGUGACUCGAGCAAGGCGGCACACAGGGCUGGACGUGGCAACCUGUGACCAUCAGAGGCCGGACAGGUGAGCCACAAAGUUUUGCAGCCUUGGAGCAGUGGAGCAGCAUGCCAACGGGCCAUCUGUGGAGAUGACACAGGCGUCAGCCAGAUGCCACAAGCAAGGAUGGCCUCAGCAUCUGAUUCUGGAACCAGCAGAUCACUAUGAGGAGCCUGGCGAUGGCAGGAACAUCCCGGCGAGGAUGGCUUGUCGAGGAGGAAGGCUGCAGAGCCCUGGCCAUCUGAAAGCUAAGUGGAGGGUCUGGGAGGAGGGGACAAGGUUGGGGAUUGGAGGGGAGGUUUUCAAAGUUGGUGUAGGGGAGAGGACUGGCAGGGCACAGUCCCCUUGGGGCAGGCAAAGGGAGCGGGUUACUCUUCAGCACAAUGUCAGUGUGUACAGGGCAGGGCAGCUCCAACCUGUGUCUGGCGUGUACUUCGUGUCGUCUGUUUUCUGUGUCUUAGACUGUAUGUUCCUUGGGUCUUGGUGCCUCCAUAGCUCAGUGACCAGCAGGCACCUCAGUAGCCCUCCCAAGAGUCCAGAAUGCAUCACUUCACUGGCACAGAGCCUGUUGAGCCCUUCUCAUCUCACAAUUACAGCUUGAUGCGUGGAUCUCUUUAGCGUGUGUCACAUCCUGGCUGUUUCUGAGCGUUCAUCUCUUGCGGUGGCCAGCCAGGUGCUGCCUGCAGCUCUGCUCUUGAGUCUGCUGUUUCCACAGAGUCAUUUUCUGGGGUUUCAUCCCCAUGUCCUCACUGGUCUUGGGUCUUCAAGCAUGGCUUCUCACACAUCCCUUAUUCUGGCUUUGAUGGCAGCUUUCUCUUGUGUGUGGCUGCAAUCUCCUCUCCUUGGCAGGUCUGCUUUAGAGCAUCCGUGCCAUCGUGGCACCGUAGGGCUUCUCUGCCAGCAUCAUCUUCCCUAUGGGAAUCUUUUACUGAGCAAGGACAAGAGACUUAUAGAAAGUUACAAAGGUCUUGUGAAAAAAGAUCCUGAUCUUGUUGAAACAAGAAGAUGGGGAAGCACGUGCUUUUCUUAAAAUGUGGCAGAAUUGCCGAAGUUGCUGUAGCUGAGCGACGUCUGCUCGUGACAAAAUCAACAAUAUGGAAACCAGACCUUCAGCAUUUAGGCUGCCCACCUCCAACUGAAGACCUACCCACUGUGUGUGCUGUACCUUGAAAUCAGAGUGAGAAAUUCACUAACCAAUCAGAGUAGAGUAACUGUGAACAUGUAUUAGGUGGAGGAAACUAAUCACAAGUGCAUAAAUGUACAUAGCCUCGCUACUUCAGAGGGCAGCUUUGUGUCUAACCAGCUCUCGCCCUGUGUUUGCCUAAACGAAUGAAAUAAAUGAAAAUACCUUGGCUCUGUAUGUAUUUGGCAUCUUGCACACCAGGUGAAUGACCCCACUUUUGGUAUAACGAGGUAUAACACUCGGGGUGUCCGUGUGUAGUCCUGGUCUGUGUGUGAGGGUUGGAGCUGCCCUGCCCAGGGAUGCAGCAGUACUGAUGACAGGGUAGCGUAGCUUUAUGGGGGUGUGGAAGUAAGUUGGUCUGGACCAGUUCUGUUGGCAGAGACCAUACGGUCCAUCUCUGGGCAAACAGUUGUAGGCAGCUGCCACAGUUGUGUUCGCUUUUCUUUACGGUCCGGGGCUAGGAUUGGAUCCAGCCGCACCUAGACUCCUCUGAGAAGGAGUUUAGAAAGCAAGGGGGUCCAGUCUGAACCUCGUGACUGGUUGGGAGCAGCAGUUAGUGUGGAAGGGGAGCGGGUCAGAUCUGGAAGGUGCCUUAGCUUGCACAGAUGGGGCUCCCUAGCUGGGUUUUCUUCUUCUAGCUGUAGUGAGAAGGUAUAUGCAAAAGGCAGAGAGACCUCUGGCCUCACCAAGCUACCUGUGGCUGUGCAGGUGACUUGCUUUACAGGGUGUGUUUGUGUUGUUUCAGGUGCAGAGCAACGAGCAGCACGGCCAAGGGCACGGAAGAGUCUUUUCUUAUGCUGUACUGUCAGGUGCAUUUUCACUUUGUAAGUUAAAAGGUAACAAGGUCCACAGAUGAGGCUCUGGAGGAAUGGUUCAAGAUGCAGCUUCUCCCAGCUCAGAUGCAUUACACAGACUUGCAGACUGCUGCUGAGUUUGGCAGUGAAUAAAUCUGCUUUGAGACCAGAAGAGUCAGUUGAUAAAGGAUGUGGAGUUGUCAGUAAAAUGUUGGAAUGAGUGAAUUAUUUUCAUUGAAACUGGAAUUUGUUUAGCUUUUCCCUGUGUCCUCUUCUUAAGGUCACAUAAGAUCUCAUUUUUUCCCUUUUUUCUUUAUAUCUUGAGUUGUUAUAAAGAAGUCAAUUAGAGAGGCCAAAAUUGCCUUUACUAGGCUCUGUGUUAGUUGCAUAUAAUGAUUAAAAUUCUAUGUGUUUUUCUGAA